AUUGAACGCUGGCGGCAGGCCUAACACAUGCAAGUCGAGCGGAUGAAGGGAGCUUGCUCCUGGAUUCAGCGGCGGACGGGUGAGUAAUGCCUAGGAAUCUGCCUGGUAGUGGGGGAUAACGUCCGGAAACGGGCGCUAAUACCGCAUACGUCCUGAGGGAGAAAGUGGGGGAUCUUCGGACCUCACGCUAUCAGAUGAGCCUAGGUCGGAUUAGCUAGUUGGUGGGGUAAAGGCCUACCAAGGCGACGAUCCGUAACUGGUCUGAGAGGAUGAUCAGUCACACUGGAACUGAGACACGGUCCAGACUCCUACGGGAGGCAGCAGUGGGGAAUAUUGGACAAAGGGCGAAAGCCUGAUCCAGCCAUGCCGCGUGUGUGAAGAAGGUCUUCGGAUUGUAAAGCACUUUAAGUUGGGAGGAAGGGCAGUAAGUUAAUACCUUGCUGUUUUGAGGUUACCAACAGAAUAAGCACCGGCUAACUUCGUG
rnacentral:rRNA from 1 species